rnacentral:rRNA from 1 species
CUACGGGGGGCACCAGUGAGGAAUUUUGCGCAAUGGGGGAAACCCUGACGCAGCAACGCCGCGUGAGUGAUGAAGGCCUUCGGGUCGUAAAACUCUGUCAAGUGGGAAGAACCUAUGUAAGGUUAAUACCCUUAUGUACUGACGGUACCACUGAAGGAAGCACCGGCUAACUCCGUGCCAGCAGCCGCGGUAAUACGGAGGGUGCAAGCGUUAUUCGGAAUUAUUGGGCGUAAAGGGCGCGCAGGCGGUGUUGUAAGUCAGAUGUGAAAGCCCGGGGCUUAACCUCGGAAGUGCAUUUGAUACUGCAAGACUUGAGUAUGGGAGAGGGAAGUGGAAUUCCUGGUGUAGAGGUGAAAUUCGUAGAUAUCAGGAGGAACACCAGUGGCGAAGGCGACUUCCUGGACCAAUACUGACGCUGAGGCGCGAAGGCGUGGGGAGCAAACAGGAUUAGAUACCCGGGUAGUC